GACGUAGGGCGCGAGCGUUGUCCGGAUUUAUUGGGCGUAAAGAGCUCGUAGGCGGCUUGUCGCGUCGACUGUGAAAACCCGCGGCUCAACUGCGGGCCUGCAGCCGAUACGGGCAGGCUAGAGUUCGGUGAGGGGAGACGUGGAAUUCCUGGUGUAGCGGUGAAAUGACGUAGAUAUCAGGAGGAACACCGAUGGCGAAGGCAGGUCUCUGGGCUGACACUGACGCU
rnacentral:rRNA from 1 species